UUUUUUUUAUAGUAUGCAUGAGAAACUCUUAAACAGAGAAGGAUAGGUAGACCUCCCCUCGCCAGAACUCAUGCUAAUUUCAGCGUACCUGAGACAACCACAUGCCUUUUGCCUUUGGCCAUAUCCUUGCCUCCAGGCUGGCACUACAUUUGGUAAUGAGGAACCUUCAGGCUCAUAGGAACCUGGUCACUCAAAGGCAGCAGAUCGGAUCCUAUUCUGCUCUUCUAUAUCUUCGGAGAAGCCACUCUUCUACAGAAUAUAACCCACCAUGACAGUAACAAAAUAAUAAUAAUAAUAAAAAAAACAAUAAUCAAACA
rnacentral:lncRNA from 1 species